rnacentral:rRNA from 1 species
UACAGAGGGUGCGAGCGUUGUCCGGAAUCACUGGGCGUAAAGGGCGCGUAGGCGGCUCGGUAAGGUUGCGGUGAAAGCCCGGGGCUCAACCCCGGGUCGGCCGUGGCAACUGCUGGGCUCGAGCACUGUAGAGGCAGGUGGAAUUCCGGGUGUAGCGGUGGAAUGCGUAGAGAUCCGGAAGAACACCAGUGGCGAAGGCGGCCCGCUGGGCAGUGGCUGACGCUGAGGCGCGACAGCGUGGGGAGCAAACAGG